AUUGAACGCUGGCGGCAUGCCUUACACAUGCAAGUCGAACGGCAGCACGGACUUCGGUCUGGUGGCGAGUGGCGAACGGGUGAGUAAUAUAUCGGAACAUACCUUGUAGUGGGGGAUAACUAUCCGAAAGGAUAGCUAAUACCGCAUACGCUCUAAGAAGGAAAGUGGGGGAUCGCAAGACCUCAUGCUAUAAGAGUGGCCGAUAUCUGAUUAGCUAGUUGGUGAGGUAAAGGCUCACCAAGGCAACGAUCAGUAGCUGGUCUGAGAGGACGACCAGCCACACUGGAACUGAGACACGGUCCAGACUCCUACGAGAGGCAGCAGUGGGGAAUUUUGGACAAUGGGGGCAACCCUGAUCCAGCAAUGCUGCGUGAGUGAAGAAGGCCUUCGGGUUGUAAAGCUCUUUUGUCAGGGAAGAAACGGUUGUGGCUAAUAUCCAUGGCUAAUGACGGUACCUGAAGAAUAAGCACCGGCUAACUACGUGCCAGCAGCCGCGGUAAAAC
rnacentral:rRNA from 1 species